rnacentral:rRNA from 1 species
GAUGAACGCUGGCGGCGUGCCUAAUACAUGCAAGUCGAGCGAACAGAUGAGGAGCCUGCUCCUCUGACGUUAGCGGCGGACGGGUGAGUAACACGUGGAUAACCUACCUAUAAGACUGGGAUAACUUCGGGAAACCGGAGCUAAUACCGGAUAAUAUAUUGAACCGCAUGGUUCAAUAGUGAAAGACGGUUUUGCUGUCACUUAUAGGUGGAUCCGCGCCGCAUUAGCUAGUUGGUAAGGUAACGGCUUACCAAGGCAACGAUGCGUAGCCGACCUGAGAGGGUGAUCGGCCACACUGGAACUGAGACACGGUCCAGACUCCUACGGGAGGCAGCAGUAGGGAAUCUUCCGCAAUGGGCGAAAGCCUGACGGAGCAACGCCGCGUGAGUGAUGAAGGUCUUCGGAUCGUAAAACUCUGUUAUUAGGGAAGAACAAAUGUGUAAGUAACUAUGCACGUCUUGACGGUACCUAAUCAGAAAGCCACGGCUAACUACGUG